UACAGAGGGUGCGAGCGUUAAUCGGAAUUACUGGGCGUAAAGCGUGCGCAGGCGGUUCGUUAUGUCCGUUGUGAAAGCCCCGGGCUCAACCUGGGAAUGGCAAUGGAAACUGGCGGGCUAGAGUGUGGCAGAGGGGGGUGGAAUUCCGCGUGUAGCAGUGAAAUGCGUAGAGAUGCGGAGGAACACCGAUGGCGAAGGCAGCCCCCUGGGCUAGCACUGACGCUCAGGCACGAAAGCGUGGGGAGCAAACAGG
rnacentral:rRNA from 1 species